rnacentral:rRNA from 2 species
UGGGGGAUAUUGCACAAUGGGCGAAAGCCUGAUGCAGCGACGCCGCGUGGGGGAUGAAGGCUUUCGGGUUGUAAACCUCUUUCGCUAUCGAACAAGGCCCGCUUAGGGUGGGUUGAGGGUAGGUGGAGAAGAAGCGCCGGCUAACUACGUGCCAGCAGCCGCUGUAAUACGUAGGGCGCGAGCGUUGUCCGGAAUUAUUGGGCGUAAAGGGCUUGUAGGCGGCUUGUUGCGCCUGCUGUGAAAACGCGGGGCUUAACUUCGCGCGUGCAGUGGGUACGGGCAGGCUUGAGUGUGGUAGGGGUGACUGGAAUUCCAGGUGUAGCGGUGGAAUGCGCAGAUAUCUGGAGGAACACCGAUGGCGAAGGCAGGUCACUGGGCCAUUACUGACGCUGAGGAGCGAAAGCAUGGGUAGCGAACAGG